UUCAUCUGUGAUGUCACAAGUGUUGUCAUGUCAGCCACUGCCUCUCAGAUAUUCCUUCCAUAUUUCUAUGGUUUACUAAUUGGCCUCUAAUUCAGAGUAAAGAGCCAUUUGGAAGGGAGGACAAAUAGGAUGAAGAGAUCAGAGAUGGGGAGAAGGAAGAUGGCCUUCUGUCAUGGUAUAAUAGAAAAGAAGAAAUAUGUGUUUCUUGGGAAAACACCCUGAAAAUUUUCAUCAAAGGAGCAAGAAAUUCUUCAUAACUUCAACACAACAUGGCCUUUGGGAACAGAAUAAAACACAAAUAAGGAAAGGCGGAAAA